rnacentral:rRNA from 1 species
CGAGCUUGCUCACAGGCACAUCAUAUCCAUAACACCUGUGCACUUGUCGGAUGGCUUAGUGAAGACCGCAAGGUUGAAUCUAUCCAUCUACUUUACAUAACAAUUCUGUAACAAAUGUAGUCUUAUUAUAACAUAAUAAAACUUUCAACAACGGAUCUCUUGGCUCUCGCAUCGAUGAAGAACGCAGCGAAAUGCGAUAAGUAAUGUGAAUUGCAGAAUUCAGUGAAUCAUCGAAUCUUUGAACGCACCUUGCGCUCCUUGGUAUUCCGAGGAGCAUGCCUGUUUGAGUGUCAUGAAAACCCUCAACCCUAGAUUGGUUAAAACCUUUCUUUGGUUUGGAUUUGGACGUUUGCCGAUGAUAAGUCGGCUCGUCUUAAAAGUAAUAGCUGGAUCUGUCUCGCGACAUGGUUUGACUUGGCGUAAUAAGUAUUUCGCUAAGGACAUCUUCGGAUGGCCGCGUUGCAGGACUAAAGACCGCUUUCUAAUCCAUUGAUCUUCGGAUUAAUACUCUUGACAUCUGGCCUCAAAUCAGGUAGGACUACCCGCUGAACUUAAGCAUAUCAUAA